AGAGUUUGAUCAUGGCUCAGAUUGAACGCUGGCGGCAUGCCUUACACAUGCAAGUCGAACGGCAGCACGGGGGCAACCCUGGUGGCGAGUGGCGAACGGGUGAGUAAUACAUCGGAACGUGUCCUGUUGUGGGGGAUAGCUCGGCGAAAGCCGAAUUAAUACCGCAUGAGAUCGAGAGAUGAAAGCAGGGGACCCGCAAGGCCUUGCGCGAUUGGAGCGGCCGAUGUCGGAUUAGCUUGUUGGUGGGGUAAAAGCCUACCAAGGCGACGAUCCGUAGCUGGUUUGAGAGAACGACCAGCCACACCGGGACUGAGACACGGCCCAGACUCCUACGGGAGGCAGCAGUGGGGAAUUUUGGACAAUGGGGGCAACCCUGAUCCAGCCAUGCCGCGUGUGUGAAGAAGGCCUUCGGGUUGUAAAGCACUUUCGGACGGAACGAAAUCGCACGGGCGAAUACCCCGUGUGGAUGACGGUACUGUAAGAAGAAGCACCGGCUAACUACGUGCCAGCAGCCGCGGUAAUACGUAGGGUGCGAGCGUUAAUCGGAAUUACUGGGCGUAAAGCGUGCGCAGGCGGCCCUGCAAGUCAGACGUGAAAUCCCCGAGCUUAACUUGGGAAUGGCGUUUGAAACUAUGGGGCUGGAGUGUGGCAGAGGGAGGUAGAAUUCCACGUGUAGCGGUGAAAUGCGUAGAUAUGUGGAGGAAUACCGAUGGCGAAGGCAGCCUCCUGGGCCAACACUGACGCUCAUGCACGAAAGCGUGGGGAGCAAACAGGAUUAGAUACCCUAGUAGUCC
rnacentral:rRNA from 1 species